CAAAGGGCUCUCCCAGAAGCCACCUUGAGAAGGGUCCCUCAAGUUAAGGACUAAACCUUCCUGUGGACUAGAAGACACACAACAAUCACAAGUUUUGUUUCUAGUGGUCAGCCGGCAUUGAUCUGGAUGUGUCUCUGUGAUUUGAAUUUAGAAUGCCAAUACAGGGCUCGUGUGUUUGAACAGUUAGUUCCUGCCUGGUGGCACUGCUUUGGAAGAUUGUGGAAACUUUAGUAGGAGACAGAGGGAGUGCUUCACUGAGACCUGCCUUGAGAACUUGUAGACCAGCCCCACUCUAUGGCUUGAUGGUAGACUCAGUGUGGCUGGUCUCCUCACGCCCCUGCUGCCAAGACUUCUCCAUUCAUGGACUAUAUCUCUUUAAACUGUUCUGUAUAAUGAUUCUUGAAUGCACCCCUAUAAAAAAGUAAACACUAUCGCUGAGGAUGGGGAGUUGACUCAUCUAAGCACUGACUGCUCUUCCAGAAGACCAGGGUUCAACUCCCAGCAACCACAUGGCAGCUCAGAACUGUCUGUAACUCCCAGAUUCAAAACCUUCACGCAGGCAAAACAUCAAUGUGCAUAAAAUAAAAUUAAAUGAAAAGAAAAGAAAAGAAAAGAAAAGCGUGAGCCAAAAACUCUUCUGAACCUGGAGUGUUCUGAGUGAAGUAUGGAGACCAUGGAACGGGAGGUAAGUAUUCAGAUUGUUUCCCCAAGGGCAGCUCCCCCAAGGAAGUCAGCCAGACAGAAAGGGAAAGAGAAUGAGGGUCUUUAAGGCAGAGGAAAUGGGUACACUGAGGUCCUUAUGGAGGGCCUAGUUUAAUGGAGCUUGGUCAUAAGGCUUUGUAUGGAGAUGAUGCCCUGCGCUAAGAGUCAACAUGGAAAUUCACUUCUGCAAGACAGAAUCACAGUUGUUGGGGGAAGAAGAGGACAUAAGAGACUGUCGACAGCACAAAGGCUCAUGUUUAGUUGGAAGAGGGAGUAAUAACAUUCCAUCUAACUAGGAGAAAAUAAGUGAAUAGAAUUGGGUCACUUGCUCUCUGGGGGAAAAAAGGUAUACUUGUUUUCUAAUGGGGAUUACAAAUAUUUCUUUAAAAAUACCCCAAGAUUUCUCCAGUUUUUUAUAUUUCCAAGCAUUAAACCAUUAAGCUAAUGUGAAUUUAGGGUGAUGUUUCACAUAUGUCAAAAUGUUUUAACACAGGCCAUUUUAUUGUUCAGAAAAAAGAAAAAUUACUAGUGGCUCCAAACAUUUUCAAUUUCUUUCUCUCUCACAGUGUUUAAAAGACUCAAAGAAUUAGUUCAGAAGGGGUUUCAACAGUAAUUUAAUGUGUGUUGACGAACAUCAGUUUUGUCAUCUGUCUUAGAAGAGAGAAAAAAAGAAAGAUUAUAUGUGUUAGUUAGACUUUUUAUUGCUGUAAUAAAAUACCAUGACCAAAAGCAA